rnacentral:rRNA from 1 species
UUGUAGUCUCAAGAAGUGUUUUCUGUGUCGGUCCGUGUAUGAGUCUGUUGGAACACAGCGUCAUAGAGGGUGACAACCCCGUUCAUGCCACGGAUACCGGUGCUUUGUGAUACACUCUCGAAGAGUCGAGUUGUUUGGGAAUGCAGCUCAAAUUGGGUGGUAAAUUCCAUCUAAAGCUAAAUAUUGGCGAGAGACCGAUAGCAAACAAGUACCGUGAGGGAAAGAUGAAAAGCACUUUGGAAAGAGAGUUAACAGUACGUGAAAUUGUUGAAAGGGAAACGAAUGAAGUCAGACGUGCGUGUUGCAAUUCAGCUCUGGUUCGCCAGAGUGUAUUUUGUAACUUUGCAGGCCAACAUCGGUUUUCUAAGCCGGAUAAAGGUUUGAGGAAGGUGGCGCUCCAGGGCGUGUUAUAGCCUCUUGCUGAAUACGAUUUGGGGGACCGAGGAACGCAGAGCGCCGCAAGGCAAAGGUUACGACCUUUUCGCUCUUAGGAUGUUGGUGAAAUGGCUUUAUACGACCC